GGGCCAAGAUCGGUAGUAACUGUUUGUAUUGUGUUGGACGAGGGUGUGUUGGCCAGUGUGGUAGACUAGCGGGUGGUAAAUUGUUUCGGCUGCUACAGCUCUCCAGCCCAAGUUGUUGACUGGCUAGUCUUUGACUGCCUCCCAACAUGUUAGUGAGGUCCUGAGCUGAUGUACCCUAUGGCGAAGAGUGAGGCACUAGUUUCCUGAAGUAAUGUAUAGCAUGAGAUGGCACCCAUUCUAAACAGCAGCCGGCACCAACUCUGGCCGACGUUGGAGUGGACAAGACCCAGAUCCUGUGGGGAGGAAAAGUCAACACUAAACUGUAAAAGGGUGUUGGUUUUUCUCACUGAAGCUACCACUCGUGCAAUUUUGAUUGGUGAUUGUGACUUAGUCCUCCUCGUGAUCUACGGCAAGGUGGAGACGCAUUAUCUGAAAUGGCUGUUGCAAUGUAUUGAAAUUAAAUUUUAUUAAAAACUCUGGGUUAGUUGAAGUCACUUAUUGUAAAUAGUGAUAAAUUGUGGUAUUUUAGUUUUCUCUAAUUUUAUUGAAACGAGCUUUUUUCAGUGUUUUUGGAAUGUUUAAUAAGGUUCUUGGCACCAUCUGUGUCUUUACAAAUUUACUUGUUACUAGAUUAUAAAUAUAUUGGUGUUCUGGGCAGUUUAUCUUGUUUGAGCAACAAGGUGAUGCAAGGCAGUUUUUUUUCCCAACUUGGCUGUAGUUGUUAAAGCCAAACGUAACUUAGAAACGUUGGUUGCAAGUUUGUAGUGUGGUGCAUGGGAUUGAAGGAAUAAUCACCGCUCCACAUUGAUAAGAUAGAUUCCUGUUGCAUUAAAGUCGGCAAGUUGAAUAAAUGUUUUGGAAAAUAUUGUAGUUAUAAUAUUGUACAACAUUGUGUUAAUUAGAAUAAUUAUCAUAACUUGGUGAAAGGGUGGUUAUUAUAUUGGUUUUCAAUUUUAUGACUCUAUUAUAGAAAAUUUUUGUAUUUGAAGGUAGUUAAAAUCUAAUUUAUAUAUUACCUGUUGGUAAUAUAGUCGCCAAGAUCAAACUUAAAGUAUACAAGGCAUUAUAACAAGUCUUUACCAAAGUUCAUGUAUAUUAGGAUACUUAAUGUAGGUGUACAUAAGCUAAAAGUUGAAAAAAUGUUAAUAGAACACAAUUGUAUAGAUUAUCAUUGCCCAUACUGUAGAUAUUAGUGAUAAGUUUUCUACUAAAUGAGGUCCAUCUCCCUUUCUGGCUGUCGUUGUCGUGA